CGUCGAAUUGGACCCAAGUCCCGUCCGAGUUUAAUGAAUUUAUGGCUGAACAAUCAGCUCUCUAUCAACCCGUUUGAACCACUGGCUUUUCAUAAAAAUCGGGUACCACUUUUCCUUUGACCCACCAGGUCUUUAUUAACCUUUGUUUCUUUCCAAUUUUCAGUUUCCAUCUUUUCGGUUUCCUCACUCCCGUCUCCUCACAACUUCUAAAACAUUAGGGAUUGUUGCAAAAUCAAAAAGUUAAGCCGCCGUCUCCAAUCUCUUGCAAUUCAACAACUCCAAAAAAUCCAAUCUACAAUUUCAAGUUUUAAGAUAUGGAAUCCAUGAAACAAUAGCCCCCAUGUUGCACUGGUUGAUGAACAAGCAAGCCCAGAAGAAUAUGAAAUCCAUGCGAAUAGGGGACCUUUCUUUUUUUCUACCAUUUGGGCACGAAAGUCGGUUGCGUGGUGGGCAUGGUCUGUGUGGAGAAGGAUGUUUGGAGAAAAGUUUGUGAGAUGGGUGGUGGAUAUGAUGGGGACAAUGGCGGUCAUUAUGCUUAAUGGUGAUUAGGGGGUGCUCUAAAGGUGUACUUGUAAUUACUGACUUUUUGGAAGGGGUGCUUCUAGGCUAGCAAGUAGCAAAAUCUUUAUUUUGGCUACGGGGGAUAUGCUCUAAAGGUGUUUGAUAUUUUAUAGCAAAGGGGAUAUGUUAGUAGUUGUAAUUUAUUUUGGCUAUGGGGAUAUGCUCUAAAGGUAUUUGAUAUUUUGUAGCAAAGGGAUAUGUUAAUAGUUGUAAUCACUGCAACAUCUUUAUUUUAGACUAGCAACAUCCUCAUUUUGGCUAUGAAAUCUUCGAUAAUGUGUGGUAUGAUGAUUGGAAUCAAGGAACUUUAAGCUAUUUUUGCAUCUUAGAGAUGUAAUGAAUGAUUGGUUUUAAGGAUAUUAAAAAAAAAAAAAAAAAGUCUGGAAUUUAAGUAUUUUGUUGAUGAAUAUCAAAUUUGAGCCAUUGAAAUAUAUGAAAAUAAGAUUUUUUUGUGCAACUUUAAAGUGAUCUACUGUUUGUUGAAUUUUGAUGUUGCAAAUGGAUUUUCCAUAACGUG
rnacentral:lncRNA from 1 species